rnacentral:sRNA from 2 species
CCAUCAGGGGCGCUGCGGAUCGGAGCCGGGGAACCACGUUCCUCGGGGUGAAUCGGCGCCAGGUCGGUCGGCCGUCGUGGACGGCGACCGGUGAGGCGUCGUAGGGCAUCUCUUCCAGCCCGAACCCGUCAGCUCACCCGGUAGGCGGACGUAGGAAGAAGGA